rnacentral:sRNA from 1 species
UGACAGUUGUUGAUGAACGGCAGUAGCCU